UUGUGGACUAACCCGCCCCGACCCGACCCCUAACCCGUUGGAUCCCCCAACUCUAAAUUAAAAGGGAACACCCGAUAAACCAAUGCAACCCUAAAACCACCGCUGAAAAAUCAAUAGCAUUCAAAUCUAGAGUUCUUCUGUUUUCUUCUUAAACUUUUGUGUUAGGACUGUUUAGGUCGUCGAAAAGGCGUACAAUAUCGGAGAAUAGUUGUUCAUCGAAGAAGAUGUACCAUUGUGGAGAAGUUGCCAAUCAUUUCACUUUGAAAACUCUCCUAAACCCAGGAAGGAGAUUCUACAAGCACCCUAAAACUGAGAAUGAGGGCUGUGGUUUUUGGCAAUAGCAAGAUGAAGAAUUCUCCGAUGCUGCGUUAAUUGCAAUUAACAAUGUACUAUUAGAAGCUGCAAAUCGAGAAAUUAAAAUGUUGAAUAUAAAUAUGGAAGCUCUUAAAGUUGAUAGAGAUGGCUUGAAGGAAAGGGUUAAAGUAUUAGAGGCAAUGAAGAAUUCUGAAGUUAAAAAAGUUAUGAAAUUGAAAGACAAAGUGUUGAAGAUGAAGAUGUUCAUCAUAAUUUUCAGUGCCCUAAUGGUUGGAUUUGCUUCCUCGUUUAUGAAGUGAAUUACUUUGUACAAUUUUGCAACUUUAAUAUUUUCAUUUAGUAUCAAUGGCAACUGUUAGUUAACUGAAUUUUUUUGCUAAAGUAAUGUUUGUAAUGUAUGAAUUCCAGCCAUUUAUCAUUUCAAAUGACUAUUAGUAGUUCAAUCUUUCCA